rnacentral:tRNA from 1 species
GAUGCUGUGGUGAAAUUGGUAGACACGAAUCCCGGUCUGAUCAGCUGGGAGGUUACCACGGGUCGAAGGCUAGAGUGGGCGCUCGGGUGGUUGGUUGGAAGCCGAACAACCAUCAGAAUCCGGAACGGGUAGCGCCACCCCCCUUGGGUGCAGGUUCGAGCCCUGCCAGUAUCG